rnacentral:rRNA from 1 species
GACAGGAGGGGCGAGCGUUGAGCGCAAGUACUGGGCCUAAAGCGCGGGUAGGUGGGCGUGGAAACCACUCAUUACGGCCCUCCGAGGAUGGAGGCGGUAGUGUCACUGAAAUCCACGCCUGGGGUCCGUAAAAGGUUGACAGAAUGGCCCAAGGACCGGUAGAAUGGGAAGAGAUGGGUUGGAAUUUCUACGGCGAAGGCAGUCAUCUGAUACGGCACCGACACCCAGCCGCGGAAGCGUGGGGAUUCAAUGGG